rnacentral:lncRNA from 1 species
CUUCCGCUGCAGACAUCCACCCACAGAAACAUCCACCACACCGGAAAUUGCAAUGUUUUUUAAAUGUCGUUUUGCACUGCACAAGCGCGUGUUGCAAAUUCUAUUGCCAACAUGCGAAAGGGACUGCACGAAGCUAUUAUGUGACACGUUCAGCUCAGCUGCACUUAGGAGGUAAUGUCAAUAGGGUGCUGGGGCUCGGACAGAACAUACAACAUAUAUUGACAGAGAGAAACAGAUGUAUGAGAUGCAUCACUCGAUUGGUAGUGCCCUCGUUCCAGAAAAUGGACGAAACAGAACAGCAGGAGGUCCAAAGGAUACGUUUGUCAAAUGAUGAAGAAGAAAAGGAUCCCCUGCUCUUCACCUUUUAUUUUCGGGAAGACAUGGAUUCAGAUUCAGAAAACUUUAUUGUCUGUCGUAACAGUAAAUCAUCUUUGAAAAUGUCUUCCUUAACAUGGCAGCUGAGGAGGAUCUUCAAGUCAACGCCAUGUUCCUGGGUCACUGGGUCACUCAUUGACAUUGCGAUGUGUGUGUGUGUGUGUGUGUGUGUGUGUGUGUGUGUGUGUGUGUGUGUGUGUGUGUGUGUGUGUGUGUGUGUGUGUGUGUGUGUGUGUGUGUGUGUGUUGAGGUUUUGAGUUUGGUUAUCUGUUGAGUGUAUGACGCGCUUCUGAAUAAAGUGUUAAAACGUUUAGAACGUUUUGAUUUUUUUAUGACUUUACUUAUUCACUUUGGUUGCACACAGAGGUCAUUUAAAACACAGACUUGAGUUUGUCGU